GACAAACGUGAAACCAACCUCGUACCCAGUGCUUCUGCGCUUAUUGCUCUCAGAAGCCCUGCAGGCUGCUCCAUUUACUGUUCGGAGUACUCUGGAUUUUGGGAACACUAAUGAAAUCGAACCAAUAAUCCUUUAAAGUAUAAAUAUUUAUAUUCGAGUACAACCUUGGUCAUUUCAAAAUUAACAGACUAGAAAUCUUACUGGUAACAUGGCUGGCUACCGAUUAUCUUGGAUUUGAGGGUUUUGAACAAGAUAUUGCAAGAUUUACUGUAUAAAUGCACAAGAUAUACUGUACUGUAAACAUGCAUCUACUUGAAGAAUGUAAAAUGAACAGUGAUGACUGAUGAGUGGUGUAAUAUAAUUCUGUACUUUAAUAUUUGGAAAACCUUUUUGGCAAAUCUUGAGAAUAAUGGCUUUGGGAAUCAAUGUUGAAAAUUAAAAACUGUCAGAUAGCUGCAUGGACAGCAUGGUUAGAAGCAUACAUGUCAUCGGAUGAAACUCCAACUUUUGUUAAUUGCUGAUGUUCUAGUAUUGGAAUGAACAGUGUUAUAAGAACCAAUGGUGCUGAAGUAAUUUGGGUUUAUUAUAAAAUAUUGUUUAUCAUUUAGUUCUGGCCAUUAACCUUACCUAUUAAGUUAUACAUUGUGUCUUACUUUUUAUUUUACUCUGGUGUGCACCCCCCCCCCCCAGGCUCUGGUCAACAGGGGUGCAUGGGGGUGUGUGCAAAAAUGAUGUUUAUCCUAAUUCUAACCAACUUAUGUUAAGGAAUUCAGUUGCGUAUCACUAGUUGACAAUAGUGGAAUAGCCAAUAUUAAAAAUUCUGAAUUUUUAAAUGUUUUGAGAAUCUAAAAAUUUUCCAGAAUGUUUUCUCAGAAUGCUGGAAAUGCCAUUUCAGAGACCCAAAUUUUAAAAAUUUUCCGUGGUAGUAUGCCCCCGGACCACCCUAGAAAUCUCGCGCCUUUGGCGCUCGUUUCGCCAUUGGUUAGCAC